ACUCCUACGGGAGGCAGCAGUAGGGAAUCUUCCACAAUGGGCGCAAGCCUGAUGGAGCAACACCGCGUGAGUGAAGAAGGGUUCGCUCGUAAAGCUCUGUUGUUAAAGAAGAACACGUAUGAGAGUAACUGUUCAUACGUUGACGGUAUUUAACCAGAAAGUCACGGCUAACUACGUGCCAGCAGCCGCGGUAAUACGUAGGUGGCAAGCGUUAUCCGGAUUUAUUGGGCGUAAAGAGAGUGCAGGUCGGUUUUCUUAAGUCUGAUGUGAAAGCCUUCGGCUUAACCGGAGAAGUGCAUCGGAAACUGGAUAACUUGAGUGCAGAAGAGGUAGUGGAACUCCAUGUGUAGCGGUGGAAUGCGUAGAUAUAUGGAAGAACACCAGUGGCGAAGGCGGCUACCUGGUCUGCAACUGACGCUGAGACUCGAAAGCAUGGGUAGCGAACAGGAUUAGAUACCCCUGGUAGCGACU
rnacentral:rRNA from 1 species